UGCCAGUGAUAAACUGGAGGAAGGUGGGGAUGACGUCAAGUCAUCAUGGCCCUUACGACCAGGGCUACACACGUGCUACAAUGGCGCAUACAAAGAGAAGCGACCUCGCGAGAGCAAGCGGACCUCAUAAAGUGCGUCGUAGUCCGGAUUGGAGUCUGCAACUCGACUCCAUGAAGUCGGAAUCGCUAGUAAUCGUGGAUCAGAAUGCCACGGUGAAUACGUUCCCGGGCCUUGUACACACCGCCCGUCACACCAUGGGAGUGGGUUGCAAAAGAAGUAGGUAGCUUAACCUUCGGGAGGGCGCUUACCACUUUGUGAUUCAUGACUGGGGUGAAGUCGUAACAAGGUAACCGUAGGGGAACCUGCGGUUGGAUCACCUCCUUACCAGAAAGAA
rnacentral:rRNA from 1 species